GUACUGUUGAAGAGUCUCAAACUAGGACGAAACAGCUGUCCAGUAC
rfam:Trichobilharzia regenti genome assembly, scaffold: TRE_scaffold0019909